rnacentral:rRNA from 1 species
AUACGUAGGGGGCGAGCGUUGUUCGGAAUCAUUGGGCGUAAAGGGCGUGCAGGCGGUCCUGCAAGUCCGGCGUGAAAGACCCCGGCCCAACCGGGGGGACGCGCUGGAAACUGCGGGGCUUGAGUACAGGAGGGGAUGCCGGAAUUCCAGGUGUAGGGGUGAAAUCUGUAGAUAUCUGGAAGAACACCAAUGGCGAAGGCAGGCAUCUGGCCAUGUACUGACGCUGAGACGCGAAGGUGCGGGGAGCAAACAGGUUUAGAUACCCUGGUAGUCCGCACAGUAAACGAUGUGCACCAGGUGGCGGGGGGUCGACCCUCGGUACCGUAGCUAACGCAUUAAGUGCACCGCCUGGGGAGUAUGCUCGCAAGGGUGAAACUCAAAUGAAUUGACGGGG